UUUUUAGAUUAUCAGAAACUGAAGACCCACCUGUGAAGUUUGAAAUCUCACCAUUAGUUUCUUACUUUGGGGAGGGACUUGAAGUAUACUUGAAGGACAGAAAAUUCCACUCUCCAUUUGUGUUGGAUGAGAACAUGGCACAAGAAUUGCUGAAUGCGUAAAUAAGUAGAUGAAUCCCUGAAGAGGAUGUGGAGACAAUACGAAGAUAAAAGUGCUUUACAGUAAAAAGUGCUGAAGUAUGUUCAUAUCGUAAAACUUAAAGUACAGAGGCAACAACAUUCCAAAACUAGACCAAAGAUGGACUGUUCAGUGCAGCAAAUCUACUUCAUGUGCCAAGAUAUUAUGAAUGUUUCCUGCAAAUUUCAUAUCUAUAUGGGGCAUUUUUAUGCUUAUAUUAAAACCUGCUGUGGGAGAAUUACA